UGUCUUGGCUAAUGUGUCUUGGCUAAGGUGUCUUGGCUAAUGUGUCUCGGCUAAGGUGUCUUGGCUGAGGUGUCUUGGCUAAUGUGUCUUGGCUAAGGUGUCUUGGCUAAGGUGUCUUGGCUAAUGUGUCUUGGCUAAAGUGUCUUGGCUAAGGUGUCUUGGCUAAUGUGUCUUGGCUAAGGUGUCUUGGCUAAGGUGUCUUGGCUAAUGUGUCUUGGCUAAGGUGUCUUGGCUAAGGUGUCUUGGCUAAGGUGUCUUGGCUAAGGUGUCUUGGCUAAUGUGUUUCGGCUAAGGUGUCUUGGCUAAUGUGUCUUGGCUAAGGUGUCUUGGCUAAUGUGUCUUGGCUAAUGUGUCUUGGCUAAUGUGUCUUGGCUAAGGUGUCUUGGCUAAUGUGUCUUGGCUAAUGUGUCUUGGCUAAGGUGUCUUGGCUAAGGUGUCUUGGCUAAGGUGUCUUGGCUAAGGUGUCUUCGCUAAGGUGUCUCGGCUAAGGUGUCUUGGCUAAUGUGUCUUGGCUAAGGUGUCUUGGCUAAGGUGUCUUGGCUAAGAUGCUUGGCUAAUGUGUCUUGGCUAAUGUGUCUUGGCUUAUGUGUCUUGGCUAAUGUGUCUUGGCUAAUGUGUCUUGGCUAAGGUGUCUUGGCUAAUGUGUCUUGGCUAAUGUGUCUUGGCUAAGGUGUCUUGGCUAAUGUGUCUCGGCUAAGGUGUCUUAACUAAUGUGUCUUGGCUAAUGUGUCUUGGCUAAGGUGUCUUGGCUAAUGUGUCUUGGCUAAUGUGUCUCGGCAAAGGUGUCUUGGCUAAUGUGUCUUGGCUAAGGUGUCUUGGCUAAUGUGUCUUGGCUAAUGUGUCUUGGCUAAGGUGUCUUGGCUAAUGUGUCUUGGCUAAGGUGUCUAGGCUAAGGUGUCUUGGCUAAGGUGUCUUGGCUAAUGUGUCUUGGCUAAUGUGUCUUGGCUAAGGUGUCUUGGCUAAGGUGUCUUGGCUAAGGUGUCUCGGCUAAUGUGUCUUGGCUAAUGUGUCUUGGCUAAUGUGUCUUGGCUAAUGUGUCUUGGCUAAUGUGUCUUGGCUAAGGUGUCUUGGGUUAUGUGUCUUGGCUAAGGUGUCUUGGCUAAGGUGUCUUGGCUAAUGUGUCUUGGCUAAUGUGUCUUGGCUAAUGUGUCUUGGCUAAGGUGUCUUGGCUAAGGUGUCUUGGCUAAUGUGUCUUGGCUAAGGUGUCUUGGCUAAUGUGUCUUGGCUAAGGUGUCUUGGCUAAUGUGUCUUGGCUAAGGUGUCUUGGCUAAGGUGUCUUGGCUAAGGUGUCUUGGCUAAUGUGUCUUGGCUAAGGUGUCUUGGCUAAGGUGUCUUGGCUAAGGUGUCUUGGCUAAUGUGUCUCGGCUAAGGUGUCUUGGCUAAUGUGUCUUGGCUAAUGUGUCUUGGCUAAGGUGUCUUGGCUAAUGUGUCUUGGCUAAUGUGUCUUGGCUAAUGUGUCUUGGCUAAUGUGUCUUGGCUAAGGUGUCUUGGCUAAUGUGUCUUGGCUAAUGUGUCUUGGCUAAUGUGUCUUGGCUAAUGUGUCUUGGCUAAUGUGUCUUGGCUAAGGUGUCUCGGCUAAUGUGUCUUGGCUAAUGUGUCUUGGCUAAUGUGUCUUGGCUAAGGUGUCUUGGCUAAUGUGUCUUGGCUAAGGUGUCUUGGCUAAUGUGUCUUGGCUAAGGUGUCUUGGCUAAUGUGUCUCGGCUAAUGUGUCUUGGCUAAUGUGUCUUGGCUAAUGUGUCUUGGCUAAGGUGUCUUGGCUAAGGUGUCUUGGCUAAGGUGUCUUGGCUAAUGUGUCUUGGCUAAUGUGUCUCGACUAAGGUGUCUUGGCUAAUGUGUCUUGGCUAAGGUGUCUUGGCUAAGGUGUCUUGGCUAAGGUGUCUUGGCUAAUGUGUCUUGGCUAAGGUGUCUUGGCUAAGGUGUCUUGGCUAAGGUGUCUUGGGUAAUGUGUCUCGGCUAAUGUGUCUUGGCUAAGGUGUCUUGGCUAAUGUGUCUUGGCUAAGGUGUCUUGGAUAAUGUGUCUUGGCUAAUGUGUCUUGGCUAAGGUGUCUUGGCUAAUGUGUCUUGGCUAAGGUGUCUUGGCUAAUGUGUCUUGGCUAAUGUGUCUUGGCUAAGGUGUCUUGGAUAAUGUGUCUUGGCUAAUGUGUCUUGGCUAAUGUGUCUUGGCUAAUGUGUCUUGGCUAAUGUGUCUUGGCUAAUGUGUCUUGGCUAAUGUGUCUUGGCUAAGGUGUCUUGGCUAAGGUGUCUUGGCUAAGGUGUCUUGGCUAAGGUGUCUUGGCUAAUGUGUCUUCGCUAAUGUGUCUUGGCUAAGGUGUCUUGGCUAAUGUGUCUUGGCUAAGGUGUCUUGGCUAAUGUGUCUUGGCUAAUGUGUCUCGGCUAAUGUGUCUCGGCUAAUGUGUCUAGGCUAAUGUGUCUUGGCUAAUGUGUCUUGGCUAAGGUGUCUUGGCUAAGGUGUCUUGGCUAAGGUGUCUUGGCUAAGGUGUCUUGGCUAAUGUGUCUUGGCUAAUGUGUCUCGGCUAAGGUGUCUUGGCUAAUGUGUCUUGGCUAAGGUGUCUUGGCUAAGGUGUCUUGGCUAAGGUGUCUUGGCUAAUGUGUCUUGGCUAAGGUGUCUUGGCUAAGGUGUCUUGGCUAAGGUGUCUUGGGUAAUGUGUCUCGGCUAAUGUGUCUUGGCUAAGGUGUCUUGGCUAAUGUGUCUUGGCUAAGGUGUCUUGGAUAAUGUGUCUUGGCUAAUGUGUCUUGGCUAAUGUGUCUUGGCUAAUGUGUCUUGGCUAAUGUGUCUUGGCUAAUGUGUCUUGGCUAAUGUGUCUUGGCUAAGGUGUCUUGGAUAAUGUGUCUUGGCUAAUGUGUCUUGGCUAAUGUGUCUUGGCUAAUGUGUCUUGGCUAAUGUGUCUUGGCUAAGGUGUCUUGGCUAAUGUGUCUUGGCUAAGGUGUCUUGGCUAAUGUGUCUCGGCUAAGGUGUCUUGGCUAAUGUGUCUUGGCUAAGGUGUCUUGGCUAAGGUGUCUUGGCUAAUGUGUCUUGGCUAAGGUGUCUUGGAUAAUGUGUCUUGGCUAAUGUGUCUUGGCUAAUGUGUCUUGGCUAAUGUGUCUUGGCUAAUGUGUCUUGGCUAAGGUGUCUUGGCUAAUGUGUCUUGGCUAAGGUGUCUUGGCUAAUGUGUCUCGGCUAAGGUGUCUUGGCUAAUGUGUCUUGGCUAAGGUGUCUUGGCUAAGGUGUCUUGGCUAAGGUGUCUUGGAUAAUGUGUCUUGGCUAAUGUGUCUUGGCUAAUGUGUCUUGGCUAAUGUGUCUUGGCUAAUGUGUCUUGGCUAAGGUGUCUUGGCUAAUGUGUCUUGGCUAAGGUGUCUUGGCUAAUGUGUCUUGGCUAAGGUGUCUUGGCUAAUGUGUCUUGGCUAAUGUGUCUUGGCUAAUGUGUCUUGGCUAAUGUGUCUUGGCUAAGGUGUCUUGGAUAAUGUGUCUUGGCUAAUGUGUCUUGGCUAAUGUGUCUUGGCUAAUGUGUCUCGGCUAAUGUGUCUCGGCUAAUGUGUCUAGGUUAAUGUGUCUUGGCUAAUGUGUCUUGGCUAAGGUGUCUUGGCUAAGGUGUCUUGGCUAAGGUGUCUUGGCUAAGGUGUCUUGGCUAAUGUGUCUUGGCUAAUGUGUCUCGGCUAAGGUGUCUUGGCUAAGGUGUCUUGGCUAAGGUGUCUUGACUAAUAAGUCUCGGCUAAUGUGUCUUGGCUAAGGUGUCUUGGCUAAUGUGUCUUGGCUAAGGUGUCUUGGCUAAGGU